rnacentral:lncRNA from 1 species
UCUCUCUUGGUUGUGUAGUGUUUCAGCACUUUCAACUUUCAAAAUCACAAAACACACACACACACACACACACAAUGGAGAAGAACAGUACAACUUUCUGCUGCAGCCAAAAGCAGCAGCGCGUGAAUUACAUCACCAGAAACGUGAAACAAACGUACGACUACUACAACCUCAACAAGGGUUCGUCUUCGUCUUCAUCCUCAUGGGAUACUUUCGAACACACCACUUGUUUCUCACCGGACGGAGAUUCCGCGCCGCCGCCGCCGGAUUCUCAUAGGCCGCCGAGAUGCUACACGUAGCAGCUUCUGCAAAAGGGAAUUUAAAUCCGCCCAAGCCCUCGGCGGUCACAUAGAACGUCCACCGCAGAGAUCGAGCCCGACUGCGCCAAUAUACUCCGACAAGGGACUCCAACAACAACGGCAACGGCGGCGGCGGCGGCGGUAAUCAAUUCUCUCUGCUAAACCUAAAUCAUAACCCUAACCCU